ACCUUCCAACACUGUCACAUUGGGGAUUUAGUUUACAGCAUAUGACCUUUGGGGAACACACUUAAACCAUAGUGCCAUCUUCAGUCUGAGAAGAAUUUCUGUCUUUCAUUGAAGUUCCAAAGGCUUCUUAUUUUGAUGACUUUGCCUAAAGAAGGGAUUCUACAGCCAAAUGCUUUCUUUUUAACAUACCGAAUGAGUAAAAGUGCAAAAUAAGUACAGAACUAUCAAACAGCAACAAAUGUGCUUCUGCUGCCUACCACAGAAUUUUCCUUGGUGAGAAGAAAACCCUACAUUACAUUUCUUUUUGGCUUCUGUCUCUGCAGCCUCAGAGUUGAUGACGAAUGCAGUCCUGCUCCACUUUGAUUCCAUCUGGCUCUGGAAGGUGUUUCUGAAGAUUUGUGAACAGCAUUUGGAUUUGUUUGUUUUUAUUUAUAUUGUCUUUUUACUAUGAUGUAUAAAUAUGUCCUGUAAUGUCAUUGAUUUAUAUCAUGAGUGAGACAAUCAAGUGUUAAAAUGGAACUUGUUGAUUAGGAUAUUUAUACCAUAGUUUGGUUUUCUUAAGAAACUCUGACAGACACGAUAUUUAAAAUGAUUAAAUUUACACUUUGAUAUAAGGCUACUAAAAGGUAGAAUAUACCAUUGAGAUAUGCCACUUGAAAAAACUACUUUUAAAAAAAUGGCAUUACUGGUGUCAUGAAGAAAAGAAAUGCUUUUAUCUCAACCCUGGUUUCAAAAAUUUGUGUAAAAACUUUUCACCUCAAUAAAUAGUUUACUUCCGUGUAGAAAA